CGAGGCGUGGCUCAGUUUGGUAGAGCGCCGCGUUCGGGACGCGGAGGCCGUGGGUUCAAGUCCCGUCGCCUCGACCA
rnacentral:tRNA from 3 species